rnacentral:rRNA from 1 species
GAUGAACGCUGGCGGCGUGCCUAAUACAUGCAAGUCGAGCGAACGGACGAGAAGCUUGCUUCUCUGAUGUUAGCGGCGGACGGGUGAGUAACACGCGGAUAACCUACCUAUAAGGCUGGGAUAACUUCGGGAAACCGGAGCUAAUACCGGAUAAUAUUUUGAACCGCAUGGUUCAAAAGUGAAAGACGGUCUUGCUGUCACUUAUAGAUGGAUCCGCGCUGCAUUAGCUAGUUGGUAAGGUAACGGCUUACCAAGGCAACGAUGCAUAGCCGACCUGAGAGGGUGAUCGGCCACACUGGAACUGAGACACGGUCCAGACUCCUACGGGAGGCAGCAGUAGGGAAUCUUCCGCAAUGGGCGAAAGCCUGACGGAGCAACGCCGCGUGAGUGAUGAAGGUCUUCGGAUCGUAAAACUCUGUUAUUAGGGAAGAACAUAUGUGUAAGUAACUGUGCACAUCUUGACGGUACCUAAUCAGAAAGCCACGGCUAACUACGUG